AAAACGGCUCUUUUCAGAGCCACACGAAAUUCAUAAAAGUGGCAAU
rfam:Euroglyphus maynei isolate Arlian Lab scaffold11423, whole genome shotgun sequence.